rnacentral:tRNA from 1 species
GCCUGUGUGGCGGAAUGGUAGACGCUACAGACUUAAAAUCUGUUGCCCUCCGGGCGUGUGGGUUCGAGUCCCUCCGCGGGCACCA